rfam:Bacillus shackletonii strain LMG 18435 super11, whole genome shotgun sequence.
UGGUGAUGCCUCCUAACCAUUAUCAAACGGAGACACUCGGUCAUGCUGUGGGUCCUAAAACCUUAGACGCUAGUCGUCAAGAGUGUGAUGUGAGGGGGGGUUUAAUGCCCC